rnacentral:rRNA from 1 species
UUGAACGCUGGCGGAAUGCUUUACACAUGCAAGUCGAGCGGCAGCGCGGGGGCAACCCUGGCGGCGAGCGGCGAACGGGUGAGUAAUGUAUCGGAACGUACCUCGUCGUGGGGGAUAACGCAGCGAAAGUUGUGCUAAUACCGCAUACGUCCUGAGGGAGAAAGCGGGGGACCGUAAGGCCUCGCGCGAUGAGAGCGGCCGAUAUCUGAUUAGCUAGUUGGUGGGGUAAAGGCUCACCAAGGCGACGAUCAGUAGCUGGUCUGAGAGGACGACCAGCCACACUGGGACUGAGACACGGCCCAGACUCCUACGGGAGGCAGCAGUGGGGAAUUUUGGACAAUGGGGGCAACCCUGAUCCAGCCAUGCCGCGUGAGUGAAGAAGGCCUUCGGGUUGUAAAGCUCUUUCAGACGGAAAGAAAACGCAUCGGUGAAUACCCGGUGUGGAUGACGGUACCGUAGGAAGAAGCACCGGCUAACUACGU